rnacentral:misc_RNA from 1 species
CCCUCCCCUAAAUCACUCCAAAAAAAACAAUCCCCAAUUCUACACAAGUGUUUCUACACUAACAAAGCAACAGCUCCUUAACGAAUUCCCAACUUUACACGAGCUCGUCUCUCGAGGUUAAAUGUUAUUACUUGGUAAGAUUCCGGACCUCGCCAAGUGUUUUGAAAACCCGCAACGCUCGCAAAGGUGCAUAGUGAGAAUAAUAAGUGAAGAGACAGACUUGUCCAAAACGCCCACCACGAAGGUGCAUAGUGAGAAGAGUAAGUCAAGAGAUAGACUUGUCCAAAAAGAAACGGAAGAGAAAGCUUGGGGAGACGCUCACGAAGGUGCAUAGUGAGAAGAGUAAGUCAAGAGAUAGACUUGUUCAAAAAGAAACAGAAGAGAAUGCUUGGGGUUACACUCACGAAGGUGCAUAGUGAGAAGAGUAAGUCAAGAGACAGACUUGUUCAAAAAGAAACAAAAGAGAAUGCUUGGGGAGAUAGAAGUGUGAGAUAGUUCUCAAGCUAAGAAAGUUGUAAAAGCUAAGAACUAGCAAGUAAUCGUCCAGGAUUCCUCCACCAGGACUUGAAAUCGUCGAGGGAAAAAAAUCGGUUCCGAGGAAUCGUCGAUCCGGACUUGGAAUCGUCGAGAAAAGUUUACCGGGUCCGAGGAAUCGUCGAGAAAAGUUUACCGGGUCCGAGGAUUUGUCGACCAGGAGUGGAAAUCGUCGAGAAAAAUCUAUCGGGUCCGAGGAAUCGUCGACCAGGACGAGGAAUCGUCGACCGGGUCCGAGGAUUUGUCGAC